rnacentral:misc_RNA from 1 species
GGUAUUGGGCGGCGGGACUCCCCCGCGCCCCAAUUUCACCGGCUGGCCGUCGCCCGUCUUAGCGUUGUGACACUCAGAUCGCUAAGAUGCGUGUAUAUGAGCUAUGCUGUAAGGAUCUCCACGGGAGGAGACAUCGGAAUUUCAAUCGAAAUUCGAACAAGGUUGACCUCGGAUCGGGUAGGAAUACCCGCUGAACUUAA